CUCAGUUCAGAUUGCAGGCUGCAACUCGCCUGCAUGAAGUCGGAAUUGCUAGUAAUCGUAGGUCAGCAUACUACGGUGAAUACGUUCCCGGGCCUUGUACACACCGCCCGUCAAACCAUGAGAGUUGGCAACACCCGAAGUCGGUAGUCUAACCGCAAGGAGGACGCCGCCGAAGGUGGGGUUGAUGAUUAGGGUUAAGUCGUAACAAGGUAUC
rnacentral:rRNA from 1 species